AAAAACAUUUCAUAUAUUAUACAAAAUAAUGAAGUUUGUGGGCUUUAAAAUGAUUUUUAUCAUCGCAUUGUCCUUAAUGGGAUCGGUUGUUAAUUCGGAAGAAACUAGCGAUUUCAAACUACUACUAAUUUCAAACCCAUCAGCUAUGAACUGAACGUGACCACGUACUUGGAGGAUAAAUUCAUUUUUGAAGGAGUAGUCGGUAUUCGUAUGACAUGCGUAGGAGCUACCGAUACCAUAGUGUUGCAUUCGACCAGUUUGAACAUCGAUACCAAAAGUGUUGUUGUGGCCAACGGCGGUGAAAAUGUCAUCCCAGUGAGCAGUGUGUCUUUUGAUCCAGAUAAAGAAUUUA